rnacentral:rRNA from 1 species
UACGUAGGGGGCGAGCGUUGUCCGGAUUUAUUGGGCGUAAAGAGCGUGUAGGCGGCCUGGUAGGUCUGCUGUGAAAACUCGAGGCUCAACCUCGAGAUGUCGGCGGAAACCAUCUGGCUAGAGUCCGGAAGAGGAGAGUGGAAUUCCCGGUGUAGCGGUGAAAUGCGUAGAUAUCUGGAGGAACACCGGUGGCGAAGGCGGCAUCCUGGACCAAUACUGACGCUGAGGAGCGAAAGCCAGGGGAGCAAAGCGGGG